rnacentral:rRNA from 1 species
UACGUAGGGCGCAAGCGUUGUCCGGAAUUAUUGGGCGUAAAGAGCUCGUAGGCGGCUUGUCACGUCGGGUGUGAAAGCCCGGGGCUUAACCCCGGGUCUGCAUUCGAUACGGGCUAGCUAGAGUGUGGUAGGGGAGAUCGGAAUUCCUGGUGUAGCGGUGAAAUGCGCAGAUAUCAGGAGGAACACCGGUGGCGAAGGCGGAUCUCUGGGCCAUUACUGACGCUGAGGAGCGAAAGAGUGGGGAGCGAACAGG